rnacentral:lncRNA from 1 species
UGAAAAAUGCCUGAGUUGGAGUUAGCUAAAUGGAGGUGUGGUUGAGUGAGAGGGGCCAUGAUUAGCAAAAGAAAGAGCUUGAGCCAAGAGGUGAAAGCAAGAAAGUGUAUCCUGAAGGACAUAGAAGGGACAAGAGGCAGGAAGGCUUUCUCUGGUAUCCUAAAGAGUUUGGGCUUGACCCUGGAUGGAGAACUGCUAGGAGAAUUUGGGUAAGGCAAAGACACAACUAUUACAUUUUAGAAAAAAAUGAUACCACUGGCAAUACAGAAAAUGUAUCAAAGUUGAAGCCACUGGGUACAUCAUGGUUCAAGUCGCUGAGAAUGAGAACUGAUAGAGACCUAAGGGGGUGGCAAGUAGAGGGGAAUUCAUGAUGAACUCAGUUUGGAAUAUGUUGAAUUCACAUAUUCAGAGAAAUGUUUAGGGUAGUGGGGAAGACAAGAUUUGGGCAUAAGAGAGAGAAGAAAAAUUUGAGAGGUUGAGAUUGUGCAGUGCUUUAUCAUAGCAUGUAUGAUCUCUUGACACAUUCUUUAUUUCAUGUCUUCCCUGACUAGAAAUAAACUUCACGAGGGUGAGAACUUUGCUUUAUUUCCACCAUCUAGAACUGUGCCUGAACCACAGGGAGCACUCAGGAAAAAUUUACUGAAAAGAUGAAUUAUUCAGAAUUGUAGUUGAAAAGGUGUCUUCAGAGGAGUUUACUUACAUGCAGUGGACAUGAAAUAGGGCAUAGAGUGAAACCGUAGGCAAAACAUUGGGUGGAUAAUGUCAUUUGAUGCCAAAAAAGAAGCACUGAGGAAUUAGGAAAAACAAGAGAUAAUGAGGUCCCAGGUGACAAUGGAAGCAGUUGUGGAAAACUGCUUUAAAUGUCAUAGAGCACUCAGAAGGAAUUCAUAAAUGACCUCAUAAAGAAGUCCACUGUGGUUUCCCUGCAGAGGUGGGAAUAGAAUCAGAGUGCUAAGGAUUGAGGGAUUAAGAGGAGGUGAUUGUAUUAUUCCUCUUUUCAGAUAAUGGAGAGAGAGAAGAGAACAGCAGUAGCCGUUGCCAGAAAUAUUGAGCAAGGCGGAUUUAUUAGAUGAAGAUAUCAAAAUACUUUCCAUUGAGGAAACAGGUUGGAGGUGGGAGGCUGUAACCAUGCUUGAUUUUGUACCACCCUAACCUUUGCUUGUAAGUAUACUUUUUGAAAACCCAUUUUAUUGAACUGAAAUGUAUUUUGUUCUGAAGGGUUGAAAAAGGCUAAAGAAGUGGGAAGGAAUUUUUGUUAAACCUUAUACAAUAAGGGAAAAUUUUCCAGCAACAUGGAAAGACAUCAGAAUUGAAAUCCUAGUGAACUACUAACUAUGUGAAAUGGACAAGUGGCUUAUUAUUCCAAUUUUACAGAAAAGAAAAAUGAGACAUAAAUGUUAACAUCUAUGUGUAUGAUGAUUACGUGAGAUAAAUUUGGGUCUCUAUUUUGAGUGUUUUGUGGGCAGGAAUGGAUUAGGACUUUCUAAAAUAUUAAAUGGGCCAAUCUAAAUAUGUGAUCAAAAUUUUUCAGAGGUAUAUUUUGUGGUAUUUACAGCAAGAUGAGAAUGUAUUUUAAAUUGAUCUUUGAUCAUAUUUUUAUCUUUUAAACAUGUUCUGCCUCAUUUUCUCUGUAAUAAUAACUAUAAUUAUAUCCAUUCCUCAUUAUAAAGCUGCUCUUUUUUCUUUUCUGACAUUCUGCCUUCAUCGACUAAUGGUGGUGAGGCUACUACCUCCUGAGGUUACUUAUAAAAUUAAAGCGAUUGGGAAGGAAUGUUACAUGCAGUCCACAUUGUAUGUGAUACCGAGAGGAGACAGGAGGGCAGAGUCCCUGAUGAGAGCUCCACCCUUAAGCCUGGACCCGUGGCCCUGAAUGAGAACAGGCAUUGCUGCUUUCCUGCCCAAAGGCUGCUUUUUCCAAAACCACCGUGGCCCACCAUGUCCCCUAUCCUGUACCUAUAAAAACCCCAAACUCCACUGGCAGAGGAAUAGAGUGGCACAGCAGAGAAGGAAAGAAUAGAAGUGUCUGAAUGUCAAAGAGGGAGCUGGACAGUCAGAGAGGAGUUUGGCUGGGGACAGCUGAGCUCCAGGGGAAGAUCAUCUUCCCACUCCAUCCCCUUUCCAGCCCCCCAACCCACAAAGAGCCACCUCCAUCAUUCAGUAAAACCUCUGCAUUCACCAUCCUUCAAGUCCAUGUGACCUGAUUCUUCUUGUACUCUGGACAAAAAUCCAGGUUCCAAGAGGGCAGGGUAUAUGUCACCCUGAUUCUCCACGGGACUGUUUAACACUUAGCCCUCUGUGGACAGCAACUGCUAAAAGAGCAUUAAUUGUAACACAUGCCCUCUGGGGCUCCAGAGGUUGUGCGCAACUGCUAGAUGCUGCCCCUGGCGCCCAAAGGCACUAGCCCUGGUUCCCAUACCCACUUACCUGCAUGCUCCCACUCCUGCAAGGGGCUUGAGUUCAGCAACAAAGCAAAACAAGCUACCACCAACCCUCCACACCCUCCCUGUGGCAAGACUCGCAAGAGGGUCAGGGAACUCUCCCCCGUCAUAUGCGUUAUUCCAGUUUAGUUACCUACAAAAUAAACUUGCCAGAAUUAGUGUUUACUACAUAAGCUAAGCACCUAUUUCAACAUGUGUGAGCUUCUAAAAAGCAAAUCAAUGCUCUUCUGUCCAAUUUUGGCCAAGGCUUCAUGAUCUCUUUCCUUAAAACAUCAACUUAAAUUUUACCAUUACUUUUCUCUCUUCCUUCCCCUUAUCCUAUUUAACUAUUAUUAGAGACAUUUUAAAAAAAUUCCUUUCCUUUUCCAUGCUUGGUUUCCUCAAUAGCGAUUUUAUAUAGAAAACAUUUGACAUUAUAGUCUAGCUUUUCAUAGUUAAAAUUAAAUAUUUCAUUAAAAAGAGGAGUCUAUUUUUUCAGACUUGUAGGGCUCUGGGAAGUGGACUUAUGAAAAAAAUGACUUUGUAUUUAUUUACAGAUAAAUAACCAUGUGUCUGUAAUUAGUAAGAGAUCCACUGUAUGUAAUUUAUCUUUUUCUUAUGUGUUACCUGUUAAAGAUGACCUUGUGUUUCCCGACAUGCUGUCAAGUGAAAGAUUUUGUAAGAAUCCUUCUAUAUUCCUACAUUAUUUUAUUGCAUUGCUCAUCAAUUUUGCAUUUUCUCCCUCUCUUAUGAUCCUAGCCUUUCCUUUAUUAGAAGUAAUUAUCUAGUUCAUAGAAAAUUGUUUAAUUUGGUUAUUUUCAUUACUUCAAAGAGAAAUUCUAAUGUAGAACGAUUUGUUUAUAUAUCUCUUGCAGACUCAAAAUACACACCACUAUUAUAAAAACCUUCCCUGCCUAGCUCAUAUUUCCCCCGACUCCUACCCCAUGGUUCCCUAGCUUAUUGAAUGUACUCAUAGCAUCUCUUUUAGUCUGUAUUGCUAUCAUGUGUUUUUCUAAUCUGUUCCCCAUAGUAACAGUGAAAUCCUUGAGGGCACGAGUCUUAUCUUUUUCAACUCUAUUUUCAGCACCUCGCAUUGUGAGUUGGUGUAAGUAGUUCAGUAAAUAACUGUAGAUGUCAAAAUAAAUAAAUGUCAGCUAAUUUUUAUGUAUAUUCAAAGAUAAAAUUUUAUUUAUUGUCAUAAUUACCUUUACCCAAUCUAUUUUUUAUUGUUUGUUUCAAAUUACACCAAUAAAAAUGUGACAAUAACCAUGCUCAUCCUUAGACUAACACCAAUGUUUAGAAGCAGUUUCACCAUAUAGUUCCAUUUUUAAAAAAUUCUAAAUAUUUGCUAUAUUCUUUAAUUGAGUCUUCCCAAAGCAAUCUUUGAACUAAUUGUUGGUUUCUCAGAUUUCUAUUUUGUUAUCUUUAAGACACUCUUUAAAUCUCAUCAAAAAUCUUCAUGGAAAUUAAUUACAUUGUACCCAAACGUUAUAAAAUCUUACCAUUUAAAGAUACUUUAGAGUUCAUUUGAACUAUUCUUCAAAGAAUUAGCAAUGAAGUUCUUUUGGAUUGAUUGAUAUUCAUGUACCCAAGAAAGAUAGGUAGAAUAUUAAUUCAUUUUAUUAUUUCCAAAGAGAAGGUGUGAAAAUAAACUAGAACACAGUUGAGUUGGCAGAACUGAGUUUGUGUUUACAAAACUGAAAAGGCUGGACCACAAUGUGGUUUACUGGUGAUAUAUUAAUUUAGAUAACAAUUAAAUCUCGGAGACUUACCAUAUUGAAAGUUUAUUUUUUGGUUUACACAAAUCUGAUAUACUGGAUAGGGGCUUUUCUCCUUUCAUUUACUCAAGGAUCCAGGUUCCAGUCCAAUAUGCACCAUUCAGCCUGGUUGCAGCAUGUUAAGCAGCCCUGGAGGCAGCAGAUGAGGGAUCCUAUGAAGCAACUUUCAGACAUUCAGAACCAAGACAAAAAAAAAGAGAAUUAAAGUAAAAUAUGAUGUACCCAGGAGUUACAUCAGUGAACCAAAUACAGCCUCAAAUUUCGAUCUGUGCUUCACAGCAGCCAGCAAAAAGAACAAAACAUAUUUUGUUAGUUCAUAUAAAUAAAUAAAUUAAAAAUGCAUGAAUAAAUAAAUAAAGCAAACCAGUUUCUCGAUUCUGAAAUAUUUUCUGGAAGUGAGAACUGAAAGGAAUUUCCACCAUGGACCCACAAGCAGUUGUUGGUGGCAUAUAUAAUGAGUGCUGGGUGUUAAGGAAGCAAUGGUGAAGGAGAGACACCCUCCCGACCCUCAUGGUGCUUGCAGCCUAGUGGAGCUAUGAAAAGAUAGGCAAGUGAGUCCUAUGAUUGGAGAAGUAAUGAGAAGUAAUGAGAAGCGUCUUCUAAGCAUAGGGGUAAAGACUGCAAAGACCCUGAAGGGAGAAAGUAAUGGCCAUUCUGAGAACUGAAAGUUUGCACAGUGCACAGAGGGCAUGAAGAACGAAGGAAAGAGAUUUUUUUUUUUUUUUUUUUGCCCAAGAUGGCAAGUUGCUUAAAACCUAAAGCUCCUUUCAAUUCUUUACAAUCCAAGAUUAUAUGGAAUGGACUGGGAACAAAGAGAGGGACUGGCAUUUAAAGUCUUUUAUACACUUUGGAACAAAUGUUAUUCUCCAUUCAUCCUGACACUAAAUUGGUUAGCCAAACCCAAAGAUCUACUAAUAAUCCUGCUUUGGCAUGGGAGAAUGAGUGAGAUAAGGAGGCAAUAGAGGAGAUGAAUCGACAAAUGGAAGGAAUAGAAUUCUGGUUGAUGUCCUUGUCUCUAAGCUGUAGCAGCAAGUAUUUAUCCUAAUCAUGUGGUGUUAGCACGGAGAUGAGAAAGAGAGAAAGACAACAUCAUGCUUUGCUGUCUGUGUGUGAACUGAGUAACAGCUGUGAAGGAUCAGUCACCAAAAGACUUUGAAAGAAGAGGCUUGAUUGGUCACGGUAAUGAUGCUCCCCUGGCCAUGGAAGUUUAAUUGGGAGAAAAGAACAUCUGCUUAUACGAAAACAUAUUAUAUUCAGCCAUCCCUGCCCUGACUUUGGCCUUUAAAAACAGUGGCAUUAAUUAUCUCAACAAAUGAAUCUUCGGGAUAAAAAUAAUCUAAAUAUUAUUUUACGCUUACUACAUAUUUGCAACGUGCUAAGCUCUUUAUGGUUGCUACCACAAAAAACAUUUAUAAUAUGAGACUUCACAAGGUUAGGAACAGGCUUCACUUCAUUGUGAUGUGUGUAAGGUGACAGAGGACAUAUAACGAAUACGUGGAAGAACUAGGAAUUUGACCUUAGCUUCCAGACAUUUUGAGGAGGAUACACUAUGUCCAUCUUGCUUUCCUAUCAAGAAAAGUAUACCCAGUUUGUGCAGUAGCCCUGUACCAACAGAUACAUUACAGCAGGUUGUUUCCGUAUUUUGGCUAUUGUGAAUAGUGCUGCAAUAAACAUGGAAGUGCUGAUAUAUCUUUGAGAUCUUGACUUCAAACAAAAGAAGAAAAUCUUGCAAUAUAUGACAACACGGAUUAACCUGGAGGACAUUGUGCUUAGUGAAGUUAGCCAGUCACAGACUGACAAGUACUGCACGAUUCCACUUAUGAAGACUACAGUUCCUAUCUUCACAGGUGGCUGUUAGCUCUAAAUGAACUCAUUUAUUUUGAAAGCAUGAUUUAAAGUAUAGUUUUAAACUAUAAGCAUUUCAGAAGUGAUGACCCAUGACUCAAAUCUCAAAAAUAAAUGCUACAGUUCACAGUUGGAAUAUGGACACAAGAAAAAUAAUAGGUGAGUAAAAAAAGAAUUUUUACCACAGAACAAAAGUUUAUUAAACACAAUUAUGAAUGAAUAUUAAUGUCAACAGAGUGCUUUUUAGAUGCCUCCUAAGCUUUGUAUGCACCUAAAAGAGAUACAAGUCAGCUCAGCUGCUAAGGAAUAGGCAGACCAGAAUGCAGUCAGAGAAAUAAACAGUUGAACAGAUAAUUCCAAAAGGAUGUGAUAAGUGUUAUGGGGGGAAUUCGGAGAAAGUGCCGAGGCAUCACACAGGAGAGACCAGCUGUCCCUGGCAUAGCUGGUGGAGAUCUUAUUAAACAACGAUACUAAGGCUGACUCUUGACUAUGAAACGAAUUUCACAGAGAAACAAGCAAAAAAGCAAUAGAAAUAUUAAUUUGUGUACCCUAUUUCAUGACAAUUAUAUACAAAAACAGAACGUUCAAAGCCUUAGGCAAUAAAACUGAUAUUUCUUGCAACAGGCUUUGGCCAAAAAAGAGUGCAGUUCUGUGAUGAAUAUCAGCUUCAUCAACAUGCCCCAGGCACCGUGAUGUCCCUCCUCUGCUCUGCUGCAUAACAGGGUGGAGACCAAAUCCAACAGUAUGAACAAGCAUCCAUCAAAACCACAGUUCUAUUAUUGAGACCAUUUCUGAUUGAAUUUCCUCAGCAGACUAUCCAAGUCGUCAUGUUCAUCAAGGUAUUCAAUUUAAAUGACCAUUAAAACGAAAUUAAGUUGGUAUUAACCUUGUCUUUUCAGAUGAUGCCACUGAAAGGUAAACAUACCAUUCUGACAUGCAUGAAAAUGAAACGACAAAUUGAUACACGCAGUGCUUGGAAUGGAUGGAGUCCUUCUAAUGAGUGAUUACCUGUGGUAUAACUAUAUUGAUUGUGUUUGUACAUGUCAAAUGGGGCUGGCGAGGAUGAACUUGAAGAAAUCAAUCUUGGAACCUGCUAGGACAGCAGCCUCCUGGUUUCACAGUACUAAAUCAUGACUUCAAAAUUUUGAAGUAAAAGAAAACUGCAAAACUUUGUAAAGGUACCAGUCUCUUCCUGACACUAUUUGCCUUGGCAAAAGAUUCACUGUCAACUUAAAAGACUAACAUGUGCUCAGAUGAUGAUUUGUGGAGGACAGAUAAUUAUGAGUACAUUUAGAAAUACACACUCUUCCAAACCCUGCUCUUUCCAUAUAAUGAAGUUAUUUAUUUCUAUUUUUUAUUUAUUUUUCUAAUAAUUACAAACAUACUUUGGAGACCCACAUUCCUGUAUUAUUCUUUCAACAUACUGAAGAAGAGUUAUUUCUAUGCUUCUUUCUAUGUGUUGGGCUUAAGAUUUAUUAGAAGGAAUGUGUAAAAACAAAGGCAGCAAAGUUUCUAUUUUUAUUGGGAGUCACUCCCGGAGUAAGUGGGGAUAGUUGUGCACACACACACACACACAUUCAUGCACAAAGAAAGAGUGAUCAAGUGUAUAACACACUUUUAGCAGUGUUUUGCUGGAAGAAUAAAGUAUAACUCCUUGUCCGCCCUUUUAUUAUACUGGGGUUCACACUAAGAGAGUCUGAGGACCUGUGGAACUCCCAUUUGCAUGAAAUAACUUUUGCAUCUAUUCUGGAGGAAAACUUCCUAAGGCAGAUUUGGACAGAAAAUUGCUAUCAGCGCAAAUAAAACAAUGCAAAGCCUACUCCGGGGAACGUUGCUCUGCCACCACUACUGAAAUGGGUCAUCCCCUUGGUUUCUGAAUAAAGAAUUAUGAAACCUGGGGCUAGAAUGCUCAGGGAGGAAUUUACCAAUCCAAAUCUUCCCCUUAUGGUAGAGAACAAACUUUCAAGGUUUGUUCUCCACUGUAAGUGUGCGAGGGCUGUUAGGGACCGUAAUAUGGCUGCCGGAGACUGGUGUGUGUACCUCCUUGACUGUACGUCUCAUUUCCAGUUAUGAUUUUACAAUCAUCUCUUUCUCAACCUUUGCUUUUAAAUAUAGGAAGGUACGGCUCACCAUGGAGCGGACAUUUUCUUCAGGAGCGGUACGGUGUCUAAGAUAUGCAGAGGUUGUAUUCUAGUCCUAUAACUCAAUUCUCAAACACAUGGCUUUUAGCCAGGGAUAUCCUAAAGGAAAAUUACACUAUAUGCAACCCCUCCUUACUCCUCAAAUAUUAUCUAUAUUAAACACAGCUGAAAUUUGAGAGUGUCCUUACAGGUGAAAAUUUAACAAUUUAACAAAAGGACACUGCUGAAUGUGUGGGGACAAAGGAAGGAUGAAUCUUUCAUCAUGACAAAAGACUACUUGCCACAUUCUCCCUUAACUUAGAAAAACAGAAAAGAGGCUGGGCGUGGUGGCUCCUGCCUGUAACCUCAGCACUUUGGGAG